UACGUAGGUGGCAAGCGUUAUCCGGAAUUAUUGGGCGUAAAGCGCGCGUAGGCGGUUUUUUAAGUCUGAUGUGAAAGCCCACGGCUCAACCGUGGAGGGUCAUUGGAAACUGGAAAACUUGAGUGCAGAAGAGGAAAGUGGAAUUCCAUGUGUAGCGGUGAAAUGCGCAGAGAUAUGGAGGAACACCAGUGGCGAAGGCGACUUUCUGGUCUGUAACUGACGCUGAUGUGCGAACGUGGGGAUCGAAACGGA
rnacentral:rRNA from 1 species